GGUUACAUCGUAUAGUGGUUAGUACAAUUCGUUGUGGCGAGCCGAAAGGCGCAACAGUACCGAGUAAACGCAGGUUCGAUUCCUGCUGUAGCCA